rnacentral:rRNA from 1 species
GAUGAACGCUAGCGGCAGGCCUAACACAUGCAAGUCGAGGGGUAGAAUUAGCUUGCUAAUUUGAGACCGGCGCACGGGUGCGUAACGCGUAUGCAAUCUACCUUGUACAGGGGGAUAGCCCAGAGAAAUUUGGAUUAAUACCCCAUGGUAUAAUUAAUUUGCAUGAAUUGAUUAUUAAAGUUCCAACGGUACAAGAUGAGCAUGCGUCCCAUUAGCUAGUUGGUGUGGUAACGGCAUACCAAGGCGACGAUGGGUAGGGGUCCUGAGAGGGAGAUCCCCCACACUGGUACUGAGACACGGACCAGACUCCUACGGGAGGCAGCAGUGGGGAAUAUUGCACAAUGGGCGAAAGCCUGAUGCAGCAACGCCGCGUGCGGGAUGACGGCCUUCGGGUUGUAAACCGCUUUCAGCAGGGACGAAGGAUUUCUGACGGUACCUGCAGAAGAAGCACCGGCUAACUACGUG